UUGGCAAAGCUGCUAGGGGCACUUGGAAUUUCACUGGCAACCGGCAACACUGGCACAGGGAUGUGCCAGUGAGGUGUAUCUGAACAUGGAUGUGAAUAUACACCGGUUGCCGGACGUAAUAAUGAGUUUAUCGAAAUUCCUAGUGCCCCUUGCGGUUUUGACGU
rfam:Roseburia sp. CAG:45 genomic scaffold, scf123